AGAGAGUUGAAACCCUAGGAUAAGGCAUAAAGAUGAAAUAAAAAAGGAUCGGUCAAAAUAGUAAAAAAGAAAACCAUAGUUGAAAGCAUUAAAAUGUGUAAGCACUUUCACAGAAAACCUAUUAGGGACCAAAACCCUAGGGUAAAAUGAAAUCGGUUAGCAAUUUUAGUAAAAGCAGAAUAAUCUUAAGGAAAAUAACAAAAAAACUCAAAACAGUCUCAAAUCUAAAGAAAUAUGAAUGGAUUUAACAGAAAUAUCCAGGUUUGUGAAUAGAGGUAGAAAAUCUUGUUCGAACCAGAGAUUUGAAGCCACGAAAAUACAAAAAUUAUAGUACAAAAAGACAUAGGGUUGAAUAUAUGAGAUUAAUCGAAAAGAUGAGAUAUUUGAACCAAAUCUGGUUCUAAUCGCUUGAGAUCCCAUUAAGUAACAUGAUAAUCGAACAAUCAGUAGAGGUAGGAGGUCGGAUAAGACGGUAAAUCACCAAAUGAUACCAUAUCUGAUUGGGAAUCGAAGGGAUUUGGAGGGAGUUUUUGAGUGAUUGUGCUCUAGGGCUUAAGGGCGUCUGAGAGAGAAUACAGGAGAAGAGGGUGGCAAUGUCUGAGAGAAAUGGG
rnacentral:lncRNA from 1 species